AAACAACUGGUAAAAAUCCUCAUGUUAUAUUCUUGCUGUAAAGAGGUUAAACACACUGUAAGAGAAGUUGUAGUAAUUACUUGCAGCAUUUUACUGAUGUUACUAGCACCAAAGAUACGGUGAACGGCUGCAAACUUCUCAGGCUCCGCGGGAGGAAAGUAGGGGCUAAAGAGGCAGUCCUUGGUGCAACGACGUCGGAGGAAUCUGCAUGCAGCACAAGGCAUGAUGGUUCUGCUACAUGACUCCAUUGCAAGAAGAGGAUAAAUGGUAAGGAUCCAGAGAAUUAGCUGGAAGAACAAUCCCUUUAAUAAAACUUGAUUUCAUUGGCUGAUUUUUAGUUUUAUGUGGAAUAUAUAUAAUAAGGGCUGUCAUAUUCAAGGGCAGAUUCAGUGAAAUGGAAAUUGCUAGAGAACUUGGAAGAUCUUGUUGAUAGCCUUCAGUUGCCACAACAGCUAGCACAAGAAUUAACUCAUGCCAAGCAUGUAAUAAUAUUAUGAGGGGGUUUGAAUUCUGAACAUUAUAUUACCCUUUAUAUGCUAACACUUGUUUCUUUUCUAAAUUAUGAUAAUAAUAAUAAUAAAAUGGAUCAAAGAUUCUUGGUUUUUUUGAGUUAACGUUGCUAGCAUUUUAAUCUUCUAUUUCUAUCUUUUUUUUAAAAAAAUUUAAAUCUUGCAUGCUAGUAAUAAUUAUGGAUAAACUACAACAUAAUAAUAUGUGUAAAUAAAUGAUGUGGGAAUGACAAUCGCAUGACUUAAUCAUAUAUUUUUGUCUUCUACUUAACUGAUAGCAGUUGAGAUGCUAUUUUCUAAGAAUACAUAAAUAUUUACAUGCAAAAUGACACAAAAUCAGAAAUAUCUACUUGAGGGCCCUAAUCAAAUCUCCAACCGACAACCUUUUCACAUUUUUUUUAGAAAAAAAGAUAAUUGAUUACAAUUAUAUUAAAAUUUUCAUAACACACAAUUUAACAUAAAUAAAUAACAACUAUUAAAAUAGAACAAUAUUCAUAAAUUGGUGGAGUUUAAACCCAUAAUUAGCUAGUCACAAACUUCAAUUCUUUCAAAAAUAGCUAACACUUAUUUGGCUCUAGGUGAUAACAACGAUCACUUUCAUUCAAAUAUCGAUGGAUAUUUUGUAAAUAUCCUUGUAAAACAUACUUGGGUGUAAGUAUUUUUAUCAAACAUAUUUUGAUAAUUAAAUUUGAAGUCAUCCAAACUUUUCGUGAAUAAUUGCUGCAUAA